CCUACGGGAGGCAGCAGUGAGGAAUAUUGGUCAAUGGCCGGGAGGCUGAACCAGCCAAGUCGCGUGAGGGAAGACGGCCCUACGGGUUGUAAACCUCUUUUGUCAGGGAGCAAGGUGCAGGUCGGGCCCUGCUGUGAGAGUACCUGACGAAAAAGCAUCGGCUAACUCCGUGCCAGCAGCCGCGGUAAUACGGAGGAUGCGAGCGUUAUCCGGAUUUAUUGGGUUUAAAGGGUGCGCAGGCGGAGGCACAAGUCAGCGGUAAAAUCGCGGGGCUCAACCCCGCUCCGCCGUUGAAACUGUGGCCCUUGAGUGCGCGAAGGGUAGGCGGAAUGCGUGGUGUAGCGGUGAAAUGCAUAGAUAUCACGCAGAACUCCGAUCGCGAAGGCAGCCUACCGGCGCGCAACUGACGCUCAUGCACGAAAGCGUGGGUAUCGAACAGGAUUAGAUACCCCAGUAGUC
rnacentral:rRNA from 1 species